AAUAAGUGAUGUUUUACACUAUUCACAUCCAACAUUUGACCGUUCAUUUUAUUUGAAUUUUUUUUAUGAUUAGUAUUCUUAUUGUUAUUAGAUGAUAAAACAUGAACAGUACUUUACGUGUGACUAUUUUUUUUUAUUUUUUUAAAUAAGACAGACGGCCAAACGUUGGACACAGAUACCCACAGCUUCACUUAUU
rfam:Oryza nivara chromosome 11, whole genome shotgun sequence.